AUUGAACGCUGGCGGCAUGCUUUACACAUGCAAGUCGAACGGUAACAGAUUAAGCUGACGAGUGGCGAACGGGUGAGUAAUGCAUCGGAACGUGCCCGAUCGUGGGGGAUAACGCAGCGAAAGCUGCGCUAAUACCGCAUACGAUCUGAGGAUGAAAGCGGGGGACCGUAAGGCCUCGCGCGAUCGGAGCGGCCGAUGUCAGUUUCGGUAGUUGUUGGGGUAAAGGCUCACCAAGGCGACGAUCUGUAGCUGGUCUGAGAGGACGACCAGCCACACUGCGGCUGAUACACGGCCCAGACGCCUACGUGAGGCAGCAGUGGGGAAUUUUGGACAAUGGGCGCAAGCCUGAUCCAGCCAUUCCGCGUGAGUGAAGAAGGCCUUCGGGUUGUAAACUGCUUUUGUACGGAGCGAAAAGGCCCUCUCUAAUACAGUGGGCUCAUGACGGUACCGUAAGAAUAAGCACCGGCUAACUACGUGCCAGCCGCCGCGGUAAGAC
rnacentral:rRNA from 1 species